UAGGAGCAAUCGAACAGAAAAUUUAAUAGUCGAGGAUCAGAAGUAUGUGGAAAACCCUAAUAAAAAGGUCCAUCGGCAGGCGGGGAUCUACUUGGAGCAACACCAAUCUUUCUCACCGCCAUCACCCCGGAUCUGCUUUCUCCUGAAAACAAGCGUCUAUUUAGUCUCCAACUCAUACAUUAUUGUCUUCAAACUUUGAAUUCUAAAAGAAUAUAACUUUCGAAAUGUGAAACCGAUCUCUUUUGUACCCCGAAAGCAGACCGUUCUUAAUCAUCACAUCGGCUGUUUAUCCCUCCAGCCCACAAUUUGCGUUUUCUCGUUAGUGCAUGCAUCUAUAGAGGGUGAAGUGCUUACCUUUGCUCGCUGGGUGGGUGGUGGCGGCGACCUUCAAAGAGAUGAUCACGUGAGAUGAAAGGGCUAGGAAAAGAAGGAAGACGAGAUAGGCCUUGUGAAGCAUCAUUCUCUCUCUUGGAAUGUAUGAUUCUAC
rnacentral:lncRNA from 1 species